rnacentral:lncRNA from 1 species
CACUGCCCCAGGUUUCCUCAGUCUGCCAGAGGAGCUAGCAAAGCCAACUGCCUUUGUCAUUUGGGAAGUAGGCUUGUUGCCAUGGAAUCCACGUUCUGAGAAAGGUUGGGGAGCAUAAAGGUAACCAUUUGUUUACACUGCAGCUUUUCUUUUGGAAAAGCCUGACUGACAGGAUUCCUUUAAGAGCUCAGCCCCAAAGUGAUUUAUCUCUCAUCACUUUACCUACUUAAAAACCAAAACUCAGGGACACCUUGUGGAAGGAACAUCUGUUGGGCUCCGUCCCUUCCUACAAAUGUCUAAUCCUGGAGGUUAUACCAUGGGCAAUGGGACUCUCCGCAACCACCAGAAGCAGAGCUGCACCUCUCAAGAUGAAAAGCACACGAGUAACGGAGCAGUGAAGGAAGAAGCACAGCAAAAUGGAAACUCACAUCUUUAUGCAAAGACUAUUGAAACCUUCGAGGAACCACCUCUUUAUGCUUUGGUUACCACAUACAUGGGAUAUGGAAUUGCAACGCUGUUUGGCCAUUUAAGAGAUUUUUUGAGAAAGUCAGGAAUAGAAAAAUGCAAUGCAGCUGUAGAGCGAAAAGAACAAAAGCAUUUUGUGCCACUGUAUCAAGACUUCGAGAAUUUUUAUACACGGAACCUUUACAUGCGAAUCAGAGACACCUGGAGCCGGUCCCUCUGCAGCGCCCCGGGGCCUUUUUUUGACAUAAUGGAAAGAGUGUCAGAUGACUAUAACUGGACGUUCAGGUGA